rnacentral:rRNA from 1 species
CCCCAGUAACGGCGAGUGAAGCGGCAACAGCUCAAAUUUGAAAUCUGGCCCCCCUCCCGGGGUCCGAGUUGUAAUUUGCAGAAGGUGCCUCCGGGGCGACGACGGUCUAAGUUCCCUGGAACGGGGCGUCACAGAGGGUGAGAAUCCCGUACGCGACCGCCCGUCCUCCCCGGUGCGAGGCCCUUUCGACGAGUCGAGUUGUUUGGGAAUGCAGCUCAAAAUGGGUGGUAAAUUUCAUCUAAAGCUAAAUACCGGCCGGAGACCGAUAGCGCACAAGUAGAGUGAUCGAAAGGUGAAAAGCACUUUGGAAAGAGAGUUAAACAGUACGUGAAAUUGUUGAAGGGGAAGCGCUUGCGACCAGACUCGCGCGCGGACGCUCAACCCUCCCCCGGGUGGGUGCACUCGUCCGCGCUCGGGCCAGCAUCGGUUCCGGCCGCCGGACGAAGGUUCGGGGAACGUAGCUCCCCUCCGGGGGAGUGUUAUAGCCCCGUACGGAAUGCGGCGCGUCGGGACCGAGGACCGCGCUUCGGCUAGGAUGCUGGCGUAAUGGUCGCCA